rnacentral:lncRNA from 1 species
UCAGCCUUAUCGUUUUUGGCAAAACGUUUCUGAAUUUCCGCAAGGAAGUCACUGGCAUUAGUAACCUCAUCGGUUACCGCACCCCUGAAAGCUUCUGGAAUGCCGCGCUUCAUGAUCAUAAGACUUAGCCUAUUUGAACGUUCCCACUUACCCCAAUAAACCUCAUCCUCUUGAGUACUUUGCUCAUUGAGUUCAUCGGGUUUGGGCAUUCUCAAGGCCAAGUCUAUAUCCAUGCAGCCUAAGAGAAUCAUCAUAUUCUCUUUCCAGUCCUUAAAAUUAGUCCCAUUUAACAUAGGGACAUUAUUGAUGUUGGCAGAUAUAGAAGUAGUUGAUAUAAAAGCUGAAUCGAGAACAAAAUAAAAUGAAUCAAAUAAACCAUCAUGCUCACAUAAAAUAAGCAAUUAAACACAUAAUCUUUAAAUUUAAAAGCAAAUUAUGACAUUUCAAGAUACCUAGCACAACAUUAAUAUCAAGUCUUUGGACAGUAAU